rnacentral:ncRNA from 1 species
AAUUUAUCAAGAGUGGUGGAGGGAAUUGGCCCUGUGAAACCCUGCAACCUCAUCGGAGACGAUAAAGGUGCUAAAUCCAACAGCAAGUAUGCUGACAGAUAAAUG